UACAGAGGGUGCGAGCGUUAAUCGGAAUUACUGGGCGUAAAGCGUGCGCAGGCGGUUCGCCAAGUCAGGUGUGAAAUCCCCGGGCUCAACCUGGGAAUUGCGCUUGAAACUAGCGAGCUUGAGUGUGGCAGAGGGGGGUGGAAUUCCACGUGUAGCAGUGAAAUGCGUAGAGAUGUGGAGGAACACCGAUGGCGAAGGCAGCCCCCUGGGUCAACACUGACGCUCAUGCACGAAAGCGUGGGGAGCAAACAGG
rnacentral:rRNA from 1 species